GCAUGUUGUAAACAUGACAAUAGAAAUGCAAUGCAAUGCGAAUAUAACUAUAGUAUAUAAUUUAAUGAUUUUGUAGCCAAACUGACUCAUUUCCCCUUUUGCAACAAGUUCACCACAUACAACUUCUAUGAGAAAUCGUGAGAUGAAUAAAUAAUGUUUCAUAUUAUCCCGUUCCAGCUGAUCCUUUCAUGCAAUGACAAGUAAAGAAACCGCCUUCUUUAUUGAAUAACGUGUCUAACAUGUCUCUACUCUUGACAAAACUAGUCGUUUCGAAAAAACUUAAAAAAUACCUUAAAGGUUCGGGAAUCAAAAUUUGAAACGUUAACUUCCGUUAACGAAUGAAUAAAGCACAUUCCACUUGAUUAGAAGAAUAGCUAUAAAUUAAUUUUAAAGAAUUUUAAUUUUUAUAACAUUCUAUGAUUUUCAUUAAUAAGUUAAAAAGAAAUAGGCUUUUAAAUUCAAAUUCGUUUUAUUUUGUUUUGUUUUGCUCAUUUCUUUCAUUCUUAUUUUUUUUUUCUUUUUUAUUUAGAAGAUUGCUCAAAUACUAUCCUUUUUCAAUCUUUCUUUCAAAUAUUCUCCAAUGUAGUAUAGUAUUACAUUCACACUUUAUCUGAACGGGAACUUUUUCAUUUAAUCUAGGUUAUCAAUUGACUUGCCUCCUAUUUCAAUACAAAGAUGUUUCCCUUGUUUUCGCCGACGCAGUUUCCAUACUACUAAUUUUUUUUACCCCUAUCUACAAAGACUCUUCAAAGAUGGCGCACAUUUGUUUUCUUUUUUCAGAAGAACUUUUGUUAUACAAUAAGCGUGAUUAUUAGCUACUAUUGUGAUUAUUACUCAAUACAAAUACGGUUAUUAUUACUAGCGGAACUCAAUUGUGGUUAUUUUUUUUUUUUUUUUCUUCUUUAGUUCCGCUUGGCAAAAAAUUUUCCUGUCUCAUUGUUAACUAAAAAUUUGCGUCCAUCAACUAAUACCUUCGGGAAUUUGUAUCUAUUCCCAUUGUCUCUUGACGUUAGUUGAUCGCUUUCAUCCCAUAUCGGGUUGCUGUACAUUGUGUUAAUUGAUUUCACCGUCCUAGAACGUGAUGGCAAGUCAUCACCUAAUCGAAGGACAUAAGAUAAGUUUAACGAACCGUAUCGUUAAAAAAUUGGCUCAGAUCAUACGAUUUUUCGGAUGUAAGGAAUUCCAAUAAGAAGAGGCGUAUCCCAUUUUUAAAGUGUCUAUCCCCCAAGCGAAUCUCACCACCAUACCUUGAUUUGCUCGUUUCCAAGUCCU